rnacentral:rRNA from 1 species
AUGGACCACCCUUACUUAUCGGGCUGGCUACGCCACUGCGAGGGCGGCGGCAUCGGCACGGCGAUCGAGACCGCGACGUCGCACAUCAAGGUGGAGCCGGCGGCCAACGGAGGGAGCUUCGUGAAGGUGGACUCGACGUACAAACUGCUGUCAGGCGUGGAGGUGAAUGACGAAAUCACCAAGGCCAAGGAAUCCGUCACCGCCAUCUUUAAGGCCGCCGAGGCCUACCUCAUCGCCAACCCUGACGCCUACAACUGA